AGGGGAGCCCCGCCGGCCCCCCGGUACCGCUCGCUGCUGGUGUUUACAGGCACUGCUCGCCCAGGGAGGGACGGGCUUGUUAUCUUCUCCCUGGUGACGGUCUCUACCUUGGCAAUUACAGUAACAGCGCCCGGGAGGAGGGGGGCGGUAGCCGGGUACCUGAGCCGCCACCAGGUCCUCGCUCCCCGCCGGCCGGCGUCGGGUCUGGCCCCGCGGUAGUCACAGGGCUCCGAGGAGGAGAGGCGCCUUGUGGAAGUGCGUGUCCCGCCCCAGUCAGAUCAGGGAGCGCCUACGGCCUUGGCACCCGAAGGGGAGCGGGGGCAGAGGGGCCUGGCGGCCCGUUCGGGUUAGGGGUGUCCGCCGCCCCAGUGGGGAAGGGAGUGCGUCCCUCUCGCUCUGGUUUCCAGCCUAAGGCGCUGAGGUGGAGCACAGGCGUUACGAGGAGGCACCCUUUGUGCAGAGAUGGCAAAGUGUGUGCAGCCCAGUGGGGAGCUUCAUUAUGUGUGUGAGUGUUGCCCGUCUGUCUCCUCCUCCCAGACCUAGCAGCCUGCAAGACUGUGUGUGACUAAAGAACAUGAGAAAGCAUAAUACCACAAGAGCAAAGACUGAGAGGAAAAAAGAUUUCUGAUCUUUUUUUUUUUUUAACAUAAGUCAAAUAUGUUGAAGAUAGAAUGAUUUGCAUUACAUAUUCAAUACUUUCGAUUCACCUAGAGGUGGCUGCUGUCAAUACAUAUCUGUCGAAACCCCAAAGAUCUUCCAAGAAAAUCAAUAAAAAUCCAAUUUUACAAUCCUGAUAUUUUCAGAGUGUUUAAAAAAUUGGCAAAAACUACCCUUUUUUAUACAUUACAAAAAAGCCAGUAAGGUGCAUUAUUGAUUUUUCACAAAUCAUUUUUAAGUCUCUGUUAAGGCUGGAUGAGAAGGAGAAGACAGAGUAUUAACACAAGUUUUGCAUGCGUUUCACAACCCACAGAUAUGGCAUGGUGUACAGUACAUUCUUCAAAGUGGAGAUUUAAAAAUCCAGGUGUAAUUGUGUAGAAAUCAUAUAAUUACUUUUUUGUAUCACUUUCCCUGUGUAGAAAAAAGUAGCGCAUGCAUUCAAGUGUAUGUUCUAUCGGUACUUCAGCUUUGACUGUCAGAGGAAAGGCCAUGAUAAUGUUUCUGCUACAAACAAGCCAUCAAUGUUGGCUGUGCAAGUAGGGUAGGUACGAUCCAAAUUAAAGAAAAAAAAAAAGAAAAAAAAAGUCUGGUCAGAGUUUUUAGUCAGGAUGUUAUGGUCUGGUGGGUUCAGACAGAAAAUUAAACCUGACUAAGGAAAAAAAAGACAAAAUGAAAACCCAAAGCCUAGACUGAGGUAGCAAAAUUGAAGUGAAUUUUAAAAUACACAUGCAUAGUGGAAGAAUGCUAUAAUCUUAUUAUUGUAACCUUUAUCCACUCUUUUCUUCCAGCAUUUAUUGCUCUCAUUAGUUACUUAAUAUUUGAAAACAGAUUGUAAAUCUCUUGUGUCAGGACAGUAUCUUUAAUGUGUUCCGAACAUGCCUAGUACAACUUCAGGCAUUCUAUACAAAAAUAAUAUUACCUCUUGGGUUUUUUUUGUAUUAUUUUUAAGCAUAGGAAAAAUUAAAAUGCAGCAAGUCUGG